rnacentral:rRNA from 1 species
GACGAACGCUGGCGGCGUGCUUAACACAUGCAAGUCGAACGAAGCUUGAUUACGGAUUCUUCGGAUGAAGUAUGAAAUGACUGAGUGGCGGACGGGUGAGUAACGCGUGAGUAACCUGCCCUUCAGAGGGGGAUAGCGUUUGGAAACGAACGGUAAUACCGCAUAAUGUAUUUUGACCGCAUGAUCGAAAUACCAAAGAUUUAUCGCUGAAGGAUGGACUCGCGUCUGAUUAGGUAGUUGGUGGGGUAACGGCCUACCAGGCCGACGAUCAGUAGCCGGACAGAGAGGGUGAGCCGCCACAUUGGGACUGAGACACCGCAGAGACUCCUACGGGAGGGAGGAGGGGGGAAUAUUGCACAGUGGGCGCAAGCCUGAUGGAGCAACGCCGCGUGAAGGAAGACGGUUGUCGUAUUGUAAACUUCUGGUCUUAGUGAAGAAUAAUGACGGUAGCUAAGGAGAAAGCGACGGCUAACUACGUG